rnacentral:rRNA from 1 species
AUUGAACGCUGGCGGCAGGCUUAACACAUGCAAGUCGAGCGGAGCGAGGGUGCUUGCACCUUAGCUUAGCGGCGGACGGGUGAGUAAUGCUUAGGAAUCUACCUAUUAGUGGGGGACAACAUUCCGAAAGGAAUGCUAAUACCGCAUACGCCCUACGGGGGAAAGCAGGGGAUCUUCGGACCUUGCGCUAAUAGAUGAGCCUAAGUCGGAUUAGCUAGUUGGUGGGGUAAAGGCCUACCAGGGCGACGAUCUGUAGCGGGUCUGAGAGGAUGAUCCGCCACACUGGGACUGAGACACGGCCCAGACUCCUACGGGAGGCAGCAGUGGGGAAUAUUGGACAAUGGGCGGAAGCCUGAUCCAGCCAUGCCGCGUGUGUGAAGAAGGCCUUUUGGUUGUAAAGCACUUUAAGCGAGGAGGAGGCUACUUAGAUUAAUACUCUGGGAUAGUGGACGUUACUCGCAGAAUAAGCACCGGCUAACUCUGUGCCAGCAGCCGCGGUAA